CUGAUUCCCAGGAUAGGACUCCUGGGUGGUGAGAUGGAAUGAGAUGUUCUGUACCCUAAAGGUGGGCUGAGCCCUUUUCACCUUUCAAGAGAAGAAUGUUGGCUUUGUUGAGAGCCAGUGGACUGUCACUAGAGAAGUCGGCAUGGCUAGAAACUGGGUGCUUGAAGAGUUCCUCUGGGCCUUCCCAACACAGGGAGAAAGGAAGCCAUCUCCCCCAGGAGGGGUGCAUCCAGGCCUUUUCAGGCUCUCAGGUUCUUCCCAUGCACGAACACCUGGCAGUGGAGGCUGAUGAAGAAAAUCAGGCUGGGGGUGUGCAGGUGCACUGCUGGAGUAACUCGCUGCAGGACGAAAAGCUACUCAGCCGUAGCUCUAUCUGCUUUUACCAAGAGCACAGAAGUUCUAUUAAUAGAAGGGAAAAUGUUACACUACUGGGUGUAAUACCUGAGUCUCCUGCCUUCACUUGGUUCCCUACGAAGCAAAGACUGGCACAAAGGAGGGAGUGGGAAACGGAGCAAGUCAACUUCUCAGCACCCGCCACAGAGGAAAGUGCUGACCCAGCCAGCAAGGGGCCCUGGGACCCAGCUGACUCCGAAGCAGAUGGCGAUGUGAGGGGCACAUUCAUCACACAGCUACCUGAGCAGCAGAUGAACGAAAUUCCCAGCAAUCCUGUGCUCAGUCUGUAGCUUAAAAAAUACAGCCAUCUUACUUCCUCUCUCUCUCUUUUAAAAUAGGAGCAGAUAUUUUUCAUGUCUCACCCAGAUGCUACUAUUUCUCUGUUAUUUGCACUUGCUGUGUUGAAAUGCAACAGAUGUUUCAAAAGGGUUUAAAUUCCUCAUGAGGGACUCUGACAAAUAAACUGAAC
ensembl:lncRNA